GGGAAAAAAUCUGGGCUCCCUAAUAUUUUAGCAUCGUGCAGGUGCCAACUCACUGUACUUUCAAGGAUAAAUCUUAUGUAGUAGUAUCUUUAGAUUGUACUUUCAUAGAAUGCGUUAUCAGGAGUAGGCGCUUUCAGGUUUUAAGGACAGAAAAUAAAUUUUAAUUAUAGACUUUGUAUAUUGAAAAAUAAAGUAAACCUGCCUUAGGGAGACCAUCAAAAAUCGUUGUGAAAAAUAAAAAAUCGACUAUAUAUUUUAUUUUCGGUUUUUGAACAUUGUUUCUAUGACUAAUAGGCACAUAUCUGGACACUUGCUUUAUUUAAAAUUUUAUUAUUUAAAAACUUUAAAUUUUGUUGUUCGAUGAGAUUUUCAUUUUCACGAUUCCGAAAUUAACGCUCGGGCUCGGAGUUUUGUGUUCCGUAUCCAGUCACAUUGAGCGGAAAAUGGCGAAUUUAUCUUACGGGAAGCGCAUGUUAAAAGCUGGACUUGAAAGUCAAGGCAUUUUGCAAAAGAAAGUAAAACGCCUGAAGCCUGAGCAAGAUGCCAAAUGGUGGUGUCAGGCUGGUCUUGACAAAGAUGGGUUCAAAGUAAAAUAUAUAUCUGACUAUAAAGGAUUUGGUGUAUUUGCCGAAAAAGACUUCAGAGCAGGGGAUUUUCUUCUAGAAUAUGUUGGAGAAAUAAUUACUGAAGAAGAGGCAUUUGAAAGGCAGAGAAAAUGUGAUGAAAAUUAUUUUUUUUUUUACAAGAACAAAGGAAAAAGUAUGUGUAUUGAUGCUUCAACUCAAGAUCAUAUAUGCCAGUAUGUCAAUGAUGGGAACAAGAUGGCUAAUGCUGUCAUGAAACUUUUGACUUUUGAGAGGCCUUGUCUAUGCUUGUUUGCUGUCAGAGAUAUUCAAGAGAAAGAAGAAAUACUGUAUAACUAUGGAGAUACUCAGAAUCUCUGGUGGAGAAAUAAGUGGAACAUACAUGUAAUGGAAACACAGAAAAUGAUGAAAAUGGACAGGGUGACUAUGAGGGAAGCAGUAGCUGCAGCAACCAAAGGAACAAGUCAGGUAAAGCUGUUAAUCAAUUAUGUCUCCCCCAGCAAAAGGAGUACAACAAUAUACCAUGGUGUUAUAAAUUGUGAUACAGAAGUUUCGGUUUGAUUCAUGAUACAUGUAUGUUAAUCCACCCAAAUGAUAUGGCUCCAUUUCAUUUUUAACUCACUAUAGCUGAAAGCUCAUGUGAGGUUUUUUGAUUAGUUUGUCUGUCAUCCGUCAGUCUGUAAACUUUCCACAUUUUCAAUUUCUUCUCCAGGCCAAUUUCAACCAAACUUGGCAAAACGUAUCAUUGCGCGAUGGGGAUUCAAGUGUGUUCAAAUGGUGUCCCUAGUCACAGGGUUCUGUGCUUAUGGGCCCAAAUGGUUAAAAAGGUACCAUUCUUAAAAAAUCAUCUUGUCAUAAAGCACUGGAGAGAAUGAUUUGAUAUUAUGCACGGGGCAUAUAAGCGACCAUGAGAUUCAAGUAUAUUGUUACUGGUUCUAUCCUCCACCAAUAAAAACUGGACACCAUUGUAUGAUGGAAAAUUGUUGAGUGUGGCAAAAAAAACAAACAAACAAAAUCAGGGAAUGAAAAAAGAUGUCAUCAAUGUAGUUAAGACAGUAAAAGAUGUCUCUUGCAGAUGUGAAUAUGGCAUUUUUCCAUAAAAUAAAGCAUCCCACAUGACUAUGCUAUCUUCACUUGAGGGCACAAAAAGCAGCAUGAUCAUCCUUGCACUUCCAAACUUGGAUUUUAACAUUUUUUUGCAUGAGAAGCAAAAAAAAUUAACAGUAAAGAAUUUAAGAAUAUGUGAGGUAACCAUAAAUGCAUCAACAACUAGUGCAGAUGUUGCAAAUUGAAUUAAUUUUGGUAGAUUUGGCCGUUGUGGUACUUAGGUUUAAGUAUAUCGGGGCACCUAUUAAUACUAGCUAGUGGGUUCAAACUUUUUUUUUUGGUAGGGCACUGGCUUUUAAAUCUGAAGGUUGUAUUUGAGACUUAGUGAUACUUCCUAACAAUUACACUUCAUUUCUUUCACAGUAAAGUGGUAAUUGGAGGACGCACAGCUUUUGCAGGAGCAAUUUUAGGAUUUAGCAUAAAUUCAUUCAUGCUUCGCUCAAAUUUUUGCUAGGAAGAAGUUUUGCUUUUGUAGCAUGAUACAAAAAUGAUGAUCAAAUAGAUUUUGAGUGUAUUUUACAACUAAUUUAAUCUCCUUAUGAUGUUGAAUGUUUGGCCGGGUUGCAGAACCUGCAUUCAGCUUUGAAGUAUGGUGAAUGCCAGGUGAUCAGCUGGCUGAGCGGACCACUUGUGCAUGCAAUGUACUUUGUGUAAUCAAAUCAUCUCACACCUCUAACUUGACAUCCUUCAAACUUUGUACAAUUGUAUGGAGACAUUAAAGAUGUAUUUUUGACUUUUUGGAAGCGCUCUGACAUUUUUCCAAAAUUUACAUUUAGUUGAACUUUGUCACUUUCACAACUUGUUUUGAAAUAGACAGUACCUACUUUGUAAAAUUGACUCCUCUCAUAGCGUUUACUUUACAUUGUUCAGACCUUGCUUGUACAGUUGUAAUGAACACAUUGAAGAUAUGUAUGUGAUUUUUAGGAAGUGUUCAGACAUUUUUUGGAAAAGUUUACAUGCAGUUGAACUUUGUAUUUUUCUCAGUAUGUUAUUAACUCCUCUCACAGCUUUUAUUUGAUAUUCUUCAGACCAUGUACAGUUGUAAUGGACACGAAGAAAAUCUGCAUGUGGCACUUUAGAAGUGUGCUACAUGUUCAUAUCUUUGUAAUUUUCCCAGCAUGAUAUCUAAAGGCAUGGCCUAAAAUAUUUCAUUUUAUGUCAGUGAAUAAUGUAUUAAAUCAACCAUGCCAUUUUGGCCAAUUUUAGUAUUUCUUGAAACCAACCCUAACCUUAACGUCUAUACCUGUAGUCUGUAAUGCAUAUUUAAAUAUAUUUCAGGUUCUGUUCAGGAGUCCCUAAAUGGUAUUCAAUGUUCUGCAAUGCUUCCAGAGGAAACUUGUUAUGUUAAUGAAGAAGAUACUAACGGUGAUGAUGAACAGGUGGAAUCAGUUCAAACGAAUGUUCCUAGGACAUCUAGAAAAUGCUCAGUGAAAUGGUCAAGAGAAGAUAGCAUUAUUGUAAGAAAUCAUUUUAGGGACUUUGUAUAUCAGACUGCCAUCUGCUCCACAAAUGAGAGACCACUGCAAAGCAAAGAGGCCAUUCUUCAAUUUCUCACAACAACUAACUUACAGAGCAUCAGAGGUUUAACUGCACAUGAACAAUACACCAAAGUCAGAACAAAGCUAUUUAAUGACAGACUGUGAGAACAAAAACAGCAACAUCCAUGACAAAAAUGUCAGGAACAAAGUAAAAGCAAUAAACAGAUUUUAGAUCUACAGUUGAAGCUGAUACAUUACCCUAUUGUCUGUCCAUCUGUUGUCAUUUCUUGUCAUCACAUUUCCUUCUAAGUUAACGAGAAGAUUUGCAUGAGACUUUACCGGAAUGAUUUCCUAGUGAUUUAGUUGGUUCUAAUGAAUUUUAUGGAGUUCAACCCCUAAGGAGCCAUGACUUAAAAAGUCAUCACAUUUCCUCCUAGGUCAUUGAUUGGAAUUUGAUAAAACUGAACAAGAAUGAUCCCCUAGUUUCCAAGAUUUCUGAAUGUCACUUUCCUUUUUAUUCUUUGAGCAUAAGGGUUAAAGCUUGAAUUGAGACAUGGUCUAUGUCUUUGAGGUCAAAAGGUCAAGGUCACUGGCCUGAAUGAAUACUUAUAUUUUACAGUUUAUAGCUCUACUGAGCUUAUGUGAUACCCUGUCGUCUAUCCAUCUGUAAACUUAAGGUUCUUUGCAUGGAACAGAUUUUGAUAAAACUCAUAAAAUGAGCUGGUAGUGGUCUAGAUGGUACAAAUCCAAUUUUAUUGGGUUCUGACCCCUAGGGGUCGAAUAAGGGGCCACACCCUUAAAACUUGUAAUAGCAUCUCCUGAGGUAAUGAAUGGAUUUUGAUCAUACCUACCUAGAAUGAUUCCCUAGUAGUUUAGUUGGUCUUAAAUUUUCAUAGGGGUCUGACCCUCAGGGGUCCAGUUAACUGCCACAUCCCAAAAAGUUUGUUAUUUGCCUCUCCUCCUAGGUUAUAAGUUGCAUUUUGAGGAAACUUACUAUGAAUGAUACCUGACUAGUGUGAUUGGUUCAAAUAAGCUCUCAUGGUGGUCCUACCCCUAAGGGCUUAGUAAGGGUGAACCCUAAAAAAUUGUUAUUGCAUCUCUUCCUACAUUAUUGGUUGGAUAUUGAUAAAACUUACUCAGAAUAAUCCCCAAGUGGUCUAGUUGGUUUUAUAAAUUUUUAUGGGGGUCAGAACUCCAGUUCCCACUUAGGGGCCAAGCCCUAAAAAGUUUGGUAUCACAACUUCUCCUAGGUUUUUGGUUGUGUUUUGAUGAAACAUACCCAGAAUUUUCCCUUAUUGGUCUAAUUAGACCUUAUAAAUUUUCAUGGGGGUCCGUUCCCUAUGGGCCUAUUUAAGGGCCACCCCAAAAGUUCUCCUAAGGCAAUGGAUGGAUGUUGAUAAAACAUAUAGCAUAAUCCUCUAAUGGUGUAGUUGGUCCUAAUGAAUUUUUAUCGGGGUCAGACCUCUAGGGAUCCCAUUAAGCACCUCAAGUUUGUUGUCCCAUUUCCUACUCCUAGGUAUUUGGUUCGAUUUUGAUGAAACUUAUGCAAAUUGAUCCCCUAGAAGAUUAUUUGUUCUUAUGAAUUUCAUAGGAAUUGACCCAGUUAAUGGCCAUCCCCAAAAAAGAUUAUUAUUGCAUCUCCUUCUAUGUCAUUGGCUGGAUUUUGAUAAAACUUUCGCAGAAUAAUCCCCUAGUGGUGUAGUUUGUCCUUAUGAAUUUUCAUGGGGCUCUUGACCCAGUCUGACAAAGUAAGAGGCAACCCCUUAAUAAGUCUGUCAUUGAAUCUUUUCUCAGGUUUUUGGUUGGAUUUUGGAGAAACUUUCCCAGAUUGAUCAUCUGGUGGUCUAGUUGAUCCUUAUGAAUUUUCAUAGGUGUCUGACUGUAGGGGCCAAGUAAGGGUAAUCACAUCUCCCAGGUUAUUAGUUGGAAUUUGAUGAAACUUACUCAGAAUAAUCGUCUAGUACUUUAGUUGGUGCUAAUGAAUUAUCAUGGGUGUCCUACCCCUACAAGCCCAAUCAGGGACCACACCCAAAAAGUAAUGAUGGCAUCCUCCUAUGUUAUUGGUUGGAUUUUGUUGAAACUGACCAAGAAUGAUCCCCUAGUGUUGUAGUUGGUCCUAAAAAAAAAUCCAUCCUUAGGGGUCCAGUAAGAGGUCACAUUCAAAAGAGUAUGUUAUUGCAUUUUCUCCUAAGAUACCAGCUGGAUUUUGAUGAAACUUGCCCUCAAUGAUCCCCUGAUGUAGUUUGUCCCAAUUCUUAUGUGGACAAGUCCCAAGGAACAAAGUUAAUGCUAUGCCUAAGUAAAUUUUAAGAAUUUAAUUAUUUCUGCAUAUGUCAGUAGAGCAUCAGGUCCUCUGGGACCUUUCAUGAACAUGCUGUAACCUACCUACAGGUGGGGAUACUCAUUUAAAUUUCACUUUAAAUAAUAUAAUCAUGUUGUCAUGAAUUCUUAAAAUGCUUUAUGUACAUCUCUGAGAAAUCAUAGUUACUUUUUAAAUUGCAAUAAUGUCUUAAAUACUGGGAGAUUGUUUCAAUAAAUGUUAAAAUGUU